rnacentral:tRNA from 1 species
GGUUUCCACAAGCAAAGGUUUUGAAAACCUUUCAAGUAAUAUUUUUACAGAAACCU